rnacentral:tRNA from 1 species
GGAGAGGUGAUCCGAUUGGUAAUGGUGGUUCUCUGUAAAAGAAUUGGUUUAAUCCGCAUUAGGUUCGAUUCCUAAACUCUUCA